GUCGCAAGACCAAAGAGGGGGACCUUCGGGCCUCUUGCCAUCGGAUGUGCCCAGAUGGGAUUAGCUAGUAGGUGGGGUAACGGCUCACCUAGGCGACGAUCCCUAGCUGGUCUGAGAGGAUGACCAGCCACACUGGAACUGAGACACGGUCCAGACUCCUACGGGAGGCAGCAGUGGGGAAUAUUGCACAAUGGGCGCAAGCCUGAUGCAGCCAUGC
rnacentral:rRNA from 1 species